CGGUAUGGCGCGGGCUAAGACCGAACCGGUUGGGAUGCUGCGAGCGUGUCGCUGCGCGCAACGCGUCCAAGAUUAAAUCAGCGACUGAGCUUGGAGAUGCCGAUCAGGGGGCUUUCGUGGACCGGAGUUCGAUUCUCCGCACCUCCACCA
rnacentral:tmRNA from 1 species